UACGGAGGUGGCGAGCGUUACUCGGUAUGACUGGGUGUAAAGGGUCCGCAGGCGGUUUCGUAAGUGAAAGGUGAAAUCCUUCGGCUUAACUGAAGAAAUGCCUUUCAUACUGCGUUACUUGAGGAUGGAAGAGGAGAGUGGAACUGUUGGUGUAAAGGCGAAAUUUGUGGAUAUCAACAGGAACGCCUAUGGUGAAGACAGCUCUCUGGUCCAUUCCUGACGCUGAGGGACGAAAGCUAGGGGAGCGAACAGG
rnacentral:rRNA from 1 species